UGACUGCAGUGAUUGACAAUCAUGCUAUAUAAAUGGAGAAGGGAGCAGGUGAAUAGGGUCUUCUUGCGUUUGCAGAGCUGGUAAGGCAAGUUUUGUAGUGACACAGACGGCAGUUGAUUUGCUUUCAGAUCUGCUAAUCCAACCAUGACUGAACUGGAAAAUUGUAUCUCUACAUUGAUUAGUGUCUUCCAAAACUAUGCCAAAAAAGGGGGUGACCCAUAUACACUGAGCAGGGAAGAAGCGAGAGAACUUGUGAAGAGUCAGCUGCCAAGUCUGGUGAAGAACCCACAUGACAAAGCGGGCUUGGACAAGUUAAUGGUAGACCUGGACAGUGAUGGGCAGGUGGAUUUUCAAGAGUUUGCAAUAAUGGUUAUUUCAAUCAGUGCGUGCUGCCAUGAUCUCCUUAAAGGUGCAUCAAAGAAAAAAUGAAAGGCCUGAACGACCAAAAAUUUGCAGCCUGCAGCUCCAUUGUCAAGGAAAUGUUUAAUUUCUUAAGCUUGUAUUUUGCUGCACUUAAAUAAAGUAUCUCAUGAAUUGUG